rnacentral:rRNA from 1 species
AGGAUGAACGCUGGCGGCGUGCCUAAGACAUGCAAGUCGAGUGGGUUUAGACCCACGGCGAACGGGUGAGUAAUACCUAGGAACUUUCUUUAAGUGGAGCAUAACCCAUAGAAAUGUGGGACAAUUCUCCAUGUGGCAGUAAUGCUAAAGUCGCAAGACGCUUAAAGUGAGGCCUGGGCACCAUCAGCUAGUUGGUAAGGUAAUGGCUUACCAAGGCUAUGACGGUUAGGGGUCCCGAGAGGGAUAACCCCCACACUGGAACUGCGACACGGUCCAGACUCCUACGGGAGGCAGCAGUUUGGAAUUUUGGACAAUGGGCGAAAGCCUGAUCCAGCGACGCCGCGUGGACGAUGAAGGCCUUCGGGUCGUAAAGUCCUUUUGCUCGGGAACAAUAUUUUGAGCGUACCGAGAGAAUAAGAGGUUGCUAACUCUGUGUCAGCAGCUGC